rnacentral:rRNA from 1 species
CCUACGGGAGGCAGCAGUGAGGAAUAUUGGUCAAUGGACGAGAGUCUGAACCAGCCAAGUAGCGUGAAGGAUGACUGCCCGAUGGGUUGUAAACUUCUUUUAUAGGGGAAUAAAACGUGCCAAGUGUGGGAUGUUGUAUGUACCAUAUGAAUAAGGAUCGGCUAACUCCGUGCCAGCAGCCGCGGUAAUACGGAGGAUCCGAGCGUUAUCCGGAUUUAGUGGGUUAAGAGGGAGCUUAGGUGGUUUGUUAAGUCAGUUGUGUAAGUUUGCGGCUAAACCGUAAAAUUGCAGUUGAAACUGGCAGUCUUUAGUACAGUAGUGGUGGGCGGAAUUCGUGGUGUAGCGGUGACAUGCUUUGAUCUCAC